CCUACGGGAGGCAGCAGUGGGGAAUAUUGCACAAUGGGCGAAAGCCUGAUGCAGCAACGCCGCGUGAAGGAAGAAGGGUUUCGGCUCGUAAACUUCUAUCAACAGGGACGAAAGAAAUGACGGUACCUGAAUAAGAAGCCCAGGCUAACUACGUGCCAGCAGCCGCGGGAUUACGUAGGGGGCAAUCGUUAUCCGGAAUUACUGGGUGUAAAGGGUGAGUAGGCGGCAUGGUAAGCCAGUUGUGAAAGCCUUGGGCUUAACCCGAGGAUUGCAUUUGAGACUAUAAAGCUAGAGUACAGGGGAGGAAAGCGGAAUUCCUAGUGUAGCGGUGAAAUGCGUAGAUAUUAGGAAGAACACCAGUGGCGAAGGCGGCUUUCUGGACUGAGACUGACGCUGAGGCACGAAAGCGUGGGGAGCGAACAGGAUUAGAUACCCUAGUAGUC
rnacentral:rRNA from 1 species